rnacentral:rRNA from 1 species
CCUACGGGGGGCAGCAGUGAGGAAUAUUGGUCAAUGGACGCAAGUCUGAACCAGCCAUGCCGCGUGCAGGAAGACGGCUCUAUGAGUUGUAAACUGCUUUUGUACGAGGGUAAACGCAGAUACGCGUAUCUGUCUGAAAGUAUCGUACGAAUAAGGAUCGGCUAACUCCGUGCCAGCAGCCGCGGUAAUACGGAGGAUUCAAGCGUUAUCCGGAUUUAUUGGGUUUAAAGGGUGCGUAGGCGGUCGGAUAAGUUAGAGGUGAAAUCCCGUGGCUCAACUUCGGAAUUGCCUUUGAUACUGUUAGGCUAGAGAGUAGUUGAGGUAGGCGGAAUGUAUGGUGUAGCGGUGAAAUGCUUAGAGAUCAUGCAGAACACCGAUUGCGAAGGCAGCUUACCAAGCUACGUCUGACGUUGAGGCACGAAAGCGUGGGGAGCAAACAGGAUUAGAUACCCCGGUAGUC